rnacentral:lncRNA from 1 species
GGUGGUUGAAAAAGAAAGGAAACGGGGUAAAACAGUAGGAUCGGCGCGAAAUCUGGAGAUUUGUGAGGGAAUAGUCAUCAGACAAAACAGAGGCUUUGCCACAGUUCCCACCAUAUGGUAACUGUAUAAAAAGUAAAAAUGGAAACACCCAUUCAUUGAUCCGUCCAUCCAUCCCCUCUGUUUCAUUCUAUAAAUUAACUCCCCUAUUUUAGCAGCCACUCCAAUCAGUAAAAAAAGGAAAAACCACUCACAUCGUGCUGCGUGCGGCUGGUUUGAUUUGGUUUGUCUACCAAUGUUGUCAUCAUCAUCAUCAUCACCAUCUUCAUUGCUUAGCCAACUUGUAACACCACCACCACCCACACUGCUCCCUUAACAUUAAGCCCAUUAAAGUUCAUAAAACAUCGUGUUUUUAAAUUCAUUUACUAGGCGCCCACAAUUUGACACCUGCAAUUUCUUUUUUCUUUUUUAAAGCUACUUGUUUCUGGUGCUAACCGCAAUGUACUUUAAGUGUUGAGUGAGGACAACCCCAUUCCUAUACAACUAGUCAGGUUCAGAUCAGAUGACAGCAUGGGGCCACUUAUAAAGCUC